AUCAUUCCACACUCAACACUACACUCCAUCUCUCCCUCUCUCUAUCUUAAUCUUCUUCAUAUCUUCAAGUCUUGUUCUUGAAGAUUCAACAUCCUUUCUAGUAAACUUCAAGAUAGUGUGAAGAUCUAAGGUUGUUCCCAAGGUGUUGUCAAGUGAAUACAAGCUUCCUAUCAUCCCAUAACUUACUUGAAUCUUGAAGGACAAAUAAAUAAUUUGAGGGAUUGUGUUAGCAUAUAAAAACGCACCCAAAGGUGAAGUUGCUUAGUGUUGAUUACGAAUAGGAAGCAUGCUCACUUAGGACCGGACGAGGCCUUAGUGAUUUAAUAAUGACAUUAGUCUAUGUUUGAUUUGCUUGUUUAACUUAAGACAAUGUUUAAUAUUUAAUGAAAUGAAAC